GGAGGAUCCAAGCGUUAUCCGGAUUUAUUGGGUUUAAAGGGUGCGUAGGCGGCUUAUUAAGUCAGGGGUGAAAGACGGUGGCUCAACCAUCGCAGUGCCUUUGAUACUGAUGAGCUUGAAUGAACUAGAGGUAGGCGGAAUGUGACAAGUAGCGGUGAAAUGCAUAGAUAUGUCACAGAACACCGAUUGCGAAGGCAGCUUACUAUGGUUUUAUUGACGCUGAGGCACGAAAGCGUGGGGAUAAAACAGGAUUAGAUACCCUGGUAGUCCACGCCCUAAACGAUGAAUACUCGCUGUUAGCGAUAUACAGUUAGCGGCUAAGCGAAAGCGUUAAGUAUUCCACCUGGGGAGUACGCCCGCAAGGGUG
rnacentral:rRNA from 1 species